rnacentral:rRNA from 1 species
GUAGGUGGCAAGCGUUGUCCGGAAUUAUUGGGCGUAAAGCGCGCGCAGGCGGUUCUUCAAGUCUGAUGUGAAAGCCCACGGCUCAGCCGUGGAGGGUCAUUGGAAACUGGAGAACUUGAGUACAGAAGAGGAAAGCGGAAUUCCACGUGUAGCGGUGAAAUGCGUAGAGAUGUGGAGGAACACCAGUGGCGAAGGCGGCUUUCUGGUCUGUAACUGACGCUGAGGCGCGAAAGCGUGGGGGAGCAAACAGGAUUAGAUACCCUGGUAGUCCACGCCGUAAACGAUGAGUGCUAAGUGUUAGGGGGUCUCCGCCCCCCCCUUAGUGCUGCAGCUAACGCAUUAAGCACUCCGCCUGGGGAGUACGGCCGCAAGGCUG